GAUGAACGCUGGCGGCGUGCCUAAUACAUGCAAGUCGAGCGAACAGACGAGGAGCUUGCUCCUUUGACGUUAGCGGCGGACGGGUGAGUAACACGUAGGUAACCUACCUAUAAGACUGGGAUAACUUCGGGAAACCGGAGCUAAUACCGGAUAAUAUUUCGAACCGCAUGGUUCGAUAGUGAAAGAUGGCUUUGCUAUCACUUAUAGAUGGACCUGCGCCGUAUUAGCUAGUUGGUAAGGUAACGGCUUACCAAGGCAACGAUACGUAGCCGACCUGAGAGGGUGAUCGGCCACACUGGAACUGAGACACGGUCCAGACUCCUACGGGAGGCAGCAGUAGGGAAUCUUCCGCAAUGGGCGAAAGCCUGACGGAGCAACGCCGCGUGAGUGAUGAAGGUCUUCGGAUCGUAAAACUCUGUUAUUAGGGAAGAACAAACGUGUAAGUAACUGUGCACGUCUUGACGGUACCUAACCAGAAAGCCACGGCUAACUACGUG
rnacentral:rRNA from 1 species